CGGGAGGACUCGCUGACCAUUCGAUGGUAGCCUCUUCGGCAGGUGGUCCUUAUGAGUUUGUCAGGCCCUUCGUGGUAGGCAAACGUCAUUGGUGUUAGGAGGUUCGGGAGGACUCGCUGACCAUUCGAUGGUAGCCUCUUUGGCAGGUGGUCCUUAUGAGUUUGUCAGGCCCUUCGUGGUAGACAAACGUCAUUGGUGUUAGGAGGUUCGGGAGGACUUGCUGACCAUUCGAUGGUAGCCUCUUCGGCAGGUGGUUCUUGAGGCAUUGUCAGGCCCUUCGCGGUAGACAAUUGUCGUCACUUAGACCUUGUCAGGCCCUUCGUGGUAGGCAAGUGUCAUCCUUAAGGCAUUGUCAGGCCCUUCGCGGUAGGCAAUUGUCGUCACUUAGACCUUGUCAGGCCCUUCGUGGUAGGCAAGUGUCAUCCUUAAGGCAUUGUCAGGCCCUUCGCGGUAGGAAAUUGUCGUCACUUAGACCUUGUCAGGCCCUUCGUGGUAGGCAAGUGUCAUCCUUAAAGCAUUGUUAGGCCUUUCGAGGUAAACAAAUUCCCAAUGAAGCAGAUCUGUCUCACACUUCGGUAACUGAAUAAGUGUCUCUUUACUUUGUUACCUGAAUUUUUUCUAAGUGUUGAGUUCGGAAUGCCUCGUUCUUUAACAUCACUUUAUCUGUUAUAUGACAUGCUUAAUUGUUGAUUAACAAUUUGAGUUAAAUCCUCAAAGGGGUUUUUGUAUAUUUGUCCAUAUAAAUUCAUAUUGAAGUAUUGACAGAAAGUAAAAAUAUACUGAAGUCAUAAGGAAGAAGAUCACUUUUCAUUAAUACUUAAUUUAUUUACAAAAAGGUAAAAUAAACAGAAAGUUUUUACAAGUAUUUUUUAAAUAAAACCGAAGAGAAACAUAAGCUGUUGCUUCAGGCAGCAUCCUCAUCAUCUGAAGAGUCGAGCAAGUAUGGAUCUAAGUUGGCUUUGAUCAGCUUUUCCUUGCCACGACUUCGGCAGAGCUCGUAGCUUUCCGUAUGAAUCCUCAUUAUUUCUCCAUUUAUUUCAUCCGAGUUCCGAU
rnacentral:lncRNA from 1 species